UACGGAGGGUGCAAGCGUUAUCCGGAAUCACUGGGUUUAAAGGGUGCGUAGGCGGUUUGAUAAGUCAGGAGUGAAAGUUAUCUGCUUAACGGGGAAAUUGCUUUUGAUACUGUCAGGCUUGAAUCGGGUUGAGGUUAGCGGAAUGUGACAUGUAGCGGUGAAAUGCAUAGAUAUGUCAUAGAACACCAAUUGCGAAGGCAGCUAGCUGAGCUCAGAUUGACGCUGAGGCACGAAAGCGUGGGGAGCGAACAGG
rnacentral:rRNA from 1 species